AGCUCCAUUAGCGUAUAUUAAAGUUGUUGCAGUUAAAAAGCUCGUAGUUGGAUUUAUGUGCAAGCGAGUUGGUCGGUCGCAAGGCUUGUUUACUGACUGGUUUGUGCUUUUUCUCCGAGACCUCGCGUACACUUUACUGGGUGCGUGUGUGUAUUGGAGACGUUUACUUUGAAAAAAUUAGAGUGUUCAAGGCAGGCAUUAUAAAACACGGCUUGAAUACAUGAGCAUGGAAUAAUGAAAUAGGACUUCGGUGCACUAUUUCGUUGGUUCUACUGUCCGAAGUAAUGAUUAAGAGGGACAGUUGGGGGCAUCCGUAUUUCGUAGUCAGAGGUGAAAUUCUUGGAUCUGCGAAAGACGAACUAGUGCGAAAGCAUUUGCCAAGAGUGUUUUCAUUAAUCAA
rnacentral:rRNA from 1 species